UACGUAGGGUGCAAGCGUUGUCCGGAAUUAUUGGGCGUAAAGAGUUCGUAGGCGGCGCAGAAAGUAGGGUGUGAAAGCCCUCGGCUCAACCGAGGAAUUGCGCUCUAAACUACUGUGCUUGAGGGACCUAGAGGUGAGCGGAACUGAUGGUGGAGCGGUGAAAUGCGUUGAUAUCAUCAGGAACACCGGAGGCGAAGGCGGCUCACUGGGGGUCUUCUGACGCUGAGGAACGAAAGCCAGGGGAGCGAACGGG
rnacentral:rRNA from 1 species